CUGGAGGAUGUUGAGUUGCGCAGCCUGACAAGAAGUAGAGAGAAAUCAGUUCGGCAUAGAAACACAAUCGGAUUUCAUAACAUUUCGCCCAAAAAUUAUUAUGAAUAAAUUUGUUUACCAGCAGGUUAGGAUGAAGAGAGACCAUCUCCAUCACCAUCUUCAUCAUCAGCAUCAGGUUCUGCUUCAUCAUCUCCAUUGCUGCCUGAUGGUGAAGCUGAAUUCUCAGUAUCACGCCUUGAUAUACCGAUAAAUCGAGGUAAUGUAAGCAAAAGAGUGGGAAGAUAGCAAUUUUAGUAGAAGGGUUAGGCAAAAGUCUUUUGAGAUAUACCAAUGCAAGCAAAUAGGAAUUCAAACUUUACAGUUACAAGAAGUUUUUUGUUGUUGUUUUUUUAAAUUAAUAAAUGAAGAGCACAGUCUAAAUUGUUAGGCCAAGCAACAUUUAUAUUUUCUGAAUGCUUACCUAGUUUGUGUGUGCUCCAACUGAACUUGUAAGCUAUCAACUUGUUCCUGCAGUUCAUCAUUUGCCCUUUGAAGUUUCCUGUUAUGUAAAACCAAAUUAUUAAUCAUUUUCAUGACAACAAAUUCAAAAUGAUCACCAUAUAUAGAUACCUUAUGUUAUUUGAUGUUGCAUCUACUUCAUCUUCAGCCAC